UACGGAGGGUGCAAGCGUUAUCCGGAUUCACUGGGUUUAAAGGGUGCGUAGGAGGGCAGGUAAGUCAGUGGUGAAAUCCCCGAGCUUAACUUGGGAACUGCCGUUGAUACUAUCUGUCUUGAAUGUUGUGGAGGUGAGCGGAAUAUGUCAUGUAGCGGUGAAAUGCUUAGAUAUGACAUAGAACACCAAUUGCGAAGGCAGCUCGCUACACAAUUAUUGACCCUGAUGCACGAAAGCGUGGGGAUCAAACAGG
rnacentral:rRNA from 1 species